rnacentral:rRNA from 1 species
CGAGGACGAACGCUGGGCGGCGUGCCUAACACAUGCAAGUCGAACGAGAUCCAUGGGAGCUUGCUCCCGGAAGAUCGAGUAAUGUGUGUAGAGUACACGAGCGGCGGACGGCUGAGUAACGCGUAGGAACGUACCCCAAAGUGAGGGAUAAGCACCGGAAACGGUGUCUAAUACCGCAUGUGGUCUUCGGAUUAAAGCUUCGGCGCUUUGGGAGCGGCCUGCGUAUGAUUAGUUUGUUGGUGAGGUAAUGGCUCACCAAGGCUUCGAUCAUUAGCUGGUCUGAGAGGAUGAUCAGCCAGACUGGGACUGAGAACGGCCCAGACUCCUACGGGAGGCAGCAGUAGGGAAUUUCCACAAUGGACGAAAGUCUGAUGGAGCAACGCCGCGUGCAGGAUGAAGGCUUUCGGGUCGUAAACUGCUUUAUAUGUGACGAUUUUGACGGUAGCAUAUGAAUAAGGAUCGGCUAACUCCGUG